rnacentral:rRNA from 1 species
AUUGAACGCUGGCGGCAUGCCUUACACAUGCAAGUCGAACGGCAGCACGGGAGCAAUCCUGGUGGCGAGUGGCGAACGGGUGAGUAAUGUAUCGGAACGUGCCCAGUCGUGGGGGAUGACGCAGCGAAAGCUGUGCUAAUACCGCAUACGAUCUAUGGAUGAAAGCGGGGGAUCGCAAGACCUCGCGCGAUUGGAGUGGCCGAUAUCAGAUUAGCUAGUUGGUGGGGUAAAGGCUCACCAAGGCGACGAUCUGUAGCUGGUCUGAGAGGACGACCAGCCACACUGGAACUGAGACACGGUCCAGACUCCUACGGGAGGCAGCAGUGGGGAAUUUUGGACAAUGGGCGCAAGCCUGAUCCAGCAAUGCCGCGUGCAGGAUGAAGGCCUUCGGGUUGUAAACUGCUUUUGUACGGAGCGAAAAGGCCCUCUCUAAUACAGGGGGCUCAUGACGGUACCGUAAGAAUAAGCACCGGCUAACUACGUGCCAGCCGCCGCAGUAA